rnacentral:rRNA from 1 species
AUUGAACGCUGGCGGCAGGCUUAACACAUGCAAGUCGAGCGAGCGGCGGACGGGUGAGUAAUGUCUGGGAAACUGCCUGAUGGAGGGGGAUCACUACUGGGAACGGUAGCUAAUACCGCAUACCCUCAGAUGUGCCCAGAUGGGAUUAGCUGGUAGGUGGGGUAAUGGCUCACCUAGGCGAUGAUCCCUAGCUGGUCUGAGAGGAUGAACGGCCACACUGGAACUGAGACACGGUCCAGACUCCUACGGGAGGCAGCAGUGGGGAAUAUUGCACAAUGGGCGCAAGCCUGAUGCAGCCAUGCCGCGUGUGUGAAGAAGGCCUUCGGGUUGUAAAGCACUUUCAGUGAGGAGGCGUUACUCGCAGAAGAAGCACCGGCUAACUCCGUGCCAGCAGCCGCGGUAAUAC